GACGAACGCUGGCGGCGUGCUUAACACAUGCAAGUCGAACGGAAAGGCCUGCUUUCCCUUGUGGAUUGCGGGUACUCGAGUGGCGAACGGGUGAGUUACACGUGAGUGAUCUGCCCCCAACUUGGGUAUAAGCCUGGGAAACUGGGUCUAAUUCCCGAUAGGACUGCAGGGUGGUGCCUGUGGUGGAAAACGAUUUUCUAGUGGUUGGGGAUGAGCUCGCGGCCUAUCAGCUUGUUGGUGGGGUAAUGGCCUACCAAGGCGGCGACGGGUAGCCGGCCUGAGAGGGUGGACGGCCACAUUGGGACUGAGAUACGGCCCAGACUCCUACGGGAGACAGCAGUGGGGAAUAUUGCACAAUGGGCGGAAGCCUGAUGCAGCGACGCCGCGUGGGGGAUGACGGCCUUCGGGUGGUAAACUCCUUUCGACCGCGAGGAAGCCACCUGGUUGGAAGGGUGGUGACGGUAGUGGUAGAAGAAGCACCGGCUAACUACGUG
rnacentral:rRNA from 1 species